GCUGCUGGGGCUUAGCUGGUCAAAGCGACUGUCUUGUAAACAGGAGAUCCUGGGUUCAAAUUCCAGCAGUGCCU
rnacentral:tRNA from 1 species